rnacentral:rRNA from 1 species
GACGAACGCUGGCGGCGUGCUUAACACAUGCAAGUCGAACGGAAAGGCCCUGCUUUUGUGGGGUGCUCGAGUGGCGAACGGGUGAUUAACACGUGAGUAACCUGCCCUUGACUUUGGGAUAACUUCAGGAAACUGGGGCUAAUACCGGAUAGGAGCUCCUGCUGCAUGGUGGGGGUUGGAAAGUUUCGGCGGUUGGGGAUGGACUCGCGGCUUAUCAGCUUGUUGGUGGGGUAGUGGCUUACCAAGGCUUUGACGGGUAGCCGGCUUGAGAGGGUGACCGGCCAAAUUGGGACUGAGAUACGGCCCAGACUCCUACGGGAGGCAGCAGUGGGGAAUAUUGCACAAUGGGCGGAAGCCUGAUGCAGCAACGCCGCGUGCGGGAUGACGGCCUUCGGGUUGUAAACCGCUUUCGCCUGUGACGAAGAGUGAGUGACGGUAAUGGGUAAAGAAGCACCGGCUAACUACGUG